CCUACGGGUGGCAGCAGUGAGGAAUAUUGGUCAAUGGACGCAAGUCUGAACCAGCCAUGUAGCGUGCAGGAAGACUGCCCUACGAGUUGUAAACUUCUUUUGUACGGGGGUAAACGCAGACACGUGUGUCUGUUUGUAAGUACUUUAUGAAUAAGGAUCGGCUAACUCCGUACCAGCAGCCGCGGUAAUACGGAGGAUCCGAGCGUUAUCCGGAUUUAUUGGGUUUAAAGGGUGCGUAGAUGGUCUGUUAAGUCAGUGGUGAAAGUCUGAGGCUCAACCUUAGAAUUGCAUUUGAUACUGGCAGGCUUGAGAACAGUUGAGGUAGGCGGAAUGUGUGGUGUAGCGGUGAAAUGCUUAGAUAUCACAAAGAACUCCGAUUGCGAAGGCAGCUUACUAAGCUGCUACUGACAUUGAGGCACGAAAGUGUGGGGAGCAAACAGGAUUAGAUACCCCAGUAGUC
rnacentral:rRNA from 1 species